rfam:Canis lupus familiaris chromosome 15, whole genome shotgun sequence.
ACCUGGAUGGCUCAGUUGGUGGAACAUGGGACUCUUGAUCCUGGGGUCAUGAGUUUGAACUCCAUUUUGGGUG